rnacentral:snRNA from 1 species
GUGCUUGCUUUGGCAGCACAUCUACUAAAAUUGGAGCGAUACAGAGAAGACUAGCAUGGCCCCUGUGCAAGGAUGACAUGCAAAUUCGUGAAGCGUUCCAUAUUUAA